GAGGCGCUAGUCCAAAAAAGACAGCUGAUUUCGGCUCAGCUAAUUAUGGUUUAAAUCCAUAGCCCCUUUUA
rnacentral:tRNA from 1 species